CCAGUUCAGAACAAAGAGAUUUUGGCAAUAGGAAAUAGGCCUUGAAUAGUUCAGAAUGGCUUGAAGAACUGACUUAAUAAACACUUCAUUCCCACAUUGCGAUAAAUAACGAGAACUCCAAUUGUUAAUUUUCUGGCGCAUACGAUCUUUUAACGUUUGAAAAGCCCACUUUUUUCCUUUGCAACCAAGUUGGGUAACCUAGGGUAUUUCUCCG
rnacentral:lncRNA from 1 species